AACGAACGCUGGCGGCAGGCCUAACACAUGCAAGUCGAGCGCCCCGCAAGGGGAGCGGCAGACGGGUGAGUAACGCGUGGGAAUCUACCUAGUGGUACGGAAUAGCCCCGGGAAACUUGGAGUAAUACCGUAUACGCCCGAAAGGGGAAAGAUUUAUCGCCAUUAGAUGAGCCCGCGUUGGAUUAGCUAGUUGGUGGGGUAACGGCCCACCAAGGCGACGAUCCAUAGCUGGUCUGAGAGGAUGAUCAGCCACACUGGGACUGAGACACGGCCCAGACUCCUACGGGGGGCAGCAGUGGGGAAUAUUGGACAAUGGGCGCAAGCCUGAUCCAGCCAUGCCGCGUGAGUGACGAAGGUCUUCGGAUUGUAAAGCUCUUUUGGCGGGGACGAUAAUGACGGUACCCGCAGAAUAAGCCCCGGCUAACUUCGUGCCAGCCGCCGCAGUAAUAC
rnacentral:rRNA from 1 species